AUGCAGAAUGCGAGCAAGAGGAAGCACGACAAGUUAAGGAGGCAGUUUAUCGUCCAGGAAGAAGAAGAGGAAGCAAAAUUUCAAGUUUUAGUAGAGGUGGCAAAUCAUUUAUUUAAAUUCAAGAUUAGGAUCUUUGGUGUGAGAAAAUUUAGCUCAUCGGUUGCAGGAAGAAUCUGCAUGCGUCGAAUUGAAGUUUUGUUGGAUGCACAAUAUAGAAUAAUCACCCGCCUUCAAAGUUCAGUCGUAGGUCCCAGAUUUUUUCUGCAAUUCGGUGUUGGGAAACGUAGUAGAAAAAAAAAUUGCCCCUAUGCACAUCCAAGAUCAAUAUGA
rnacentral:rRNA from 1 species